UAUUAGUUAGAUUCAGUUUCAUAAGAAAAUCUAAUGCUUACAUACAAACACGCGUAGUUUCGAAUAUAUUUGUUUUUCUUAAUUUCUUUAAUGAAUUAUGAAUCUGCAGACAUUUUUCUCUCACACUUUUACAGAUAAAUAAAAAUAUACAUGGCAAUCCAUUAGUAGACCAAUCACAUUUGUUUCAGUAAUUAAAGCAAGAAAUGU
rnacentral:sRNA from 1 species